rnacentral:misc_RNA from 1 species
GGUUAACGAAAUAAGUGAAGUUCAACCUCUUCCUUCUGUUUCUUUAAGCUCAGUGUUAUUUGUACCUGAAUGGCCAUACAAUUUGAUUUCCAUUAGCAGAUUAACAAAAAAUUAUUGAUUGUUUUGUCAUUUUUAUGGCUAAUUCUGUUAUUAUGCAAGACCGGGUAUGGGGAAGACGAUUGGAACAGGACAUGAGUCAUAAGGACUGUAUCAUCUAUCGAAUUCAAGCUCACUAGUUGCUUUUACUUUCGUUGUGUUUGCCUAUCUUAUCCAUAGCCG